GGGCCCGGCCGGGGCGGCGGCGGCGGCGGAACCGGGAGGGCGGCGCGGCCAUGGAGGAGCCGUCGGUACCGGACGCCUCGGCGGCGGGGCGGGGGCCCAUCAAGGGCAUCCUGAAGAAGAGCGGCAGCAAGGCUUCGUCGGGAGCGGCCGUGGGAGCGCGACAGCCCAGCCAAGCCUGUGACGAGGACGAUCACGGUAAAAAAUCACAGAAGUGGGAUGAAAUGAACAUCAUAGCUACAUACCACCCUCCAGGCAAAGAUUAUGGCUUGAUGAAAAUUGAUGAGCCAAGUACUCCUUACCACAGCAUGGUAGGAGAAGAUGAUGAGGAUGCAGUGAGUGAUUCAGAAUAUGAGCCCUUAAAAGCAGAUGUAUUGAGUAAAAAACUGGCAGCUGCAGCUGAAGGUAGAGGACCCAAGGUUAUAGCAAGGCAAGAAGAAAGCAGUGAGGAGGAGGACGAGGAUGAAGAAUUAACACCUGAAGAACGGGAGAAAAAGAAACAGUUUGAAAUGAAGAGAAAAAUGCACUAUAAUGAAGGAAGAAACAUCAAACUGGCAAGGCAGCUCAUUGCAAAAGAACUACAUGGUGAAGAAGAGGAAGAUGAUGAGGAUGAAGAGAUGCGUGAUGCUGCAGAUGUAGAAACAAUGAGUACAGAACCUACCGAACAUGGUGAGCUACUGAUGAAUUAAAAAGCACCUACUGAGAUUUCUUGCUGAUAAAAUGAAGAUGGCCAGUCCAGUCAGUGAUGCACAUGUUACUCGUGACCAGCUGGAAAGUGGAGCACACAGCAUAGAAGAAAUCUGUCCAGAACUGUAACUGCUUGUCAAAGACACAAAUAUAAACAUCGCUUCAUGAUUUUUGCAAUUAAGGCUCUUAAAUGUUAAGAAGCAUAUCCGUUACAAUGUUGUAUUGCCAAGAAUGUUAAUUUUAGAUUUGUCCAUUAGGCAGAAAACACUGUCUAAUCGAUUUAUUCUUGUGCCUAGUAUUUCAUGGAGAAUACUGCUUCAUAAUUUGUUCAACCAGAAUGGCAUUCCCUGUAUGUAUAGCACUGAUUAUCUUGCGUGAUGUACUGUUACUCUUGCUUUGAAACACUCACUAUCUUUCGGUUUUACACUAUUUAUUUGAGAGUGUUCUAGAUGUAGUGUCUCAUAUGGAAAGUUUUGGGAUUCAAGAGCCAAACGGUACAGCGAAUAUCAGAUUGACAUGUAAGCUAUUUAUCAGAUGUGUUAAGCAGUUUAAAAAGGGAUUAUUCAAGUCCUACAACUUUUUUUUUUUUUUGUAAAGUAUUGACCUGUUAAUCUAGAUUUCAGUAUGUUUUUGCCUGCACCUUCCCAGUGUUUAGAACAAGAGCUGUGCUAUUUCUUAAGAGUGGUGUUUGGAAUUGGUUGUUAGUUUCUGACUAAAGCAGUACUAGCAUCUGGUUGAGGGAGUGUUUUUACACUGGAAGCAGCUAACUUGAACUUUGCAUUUAACUGUCAUAACCUCUUCCAUCAGGACUGGUUGUUUUGUGGAGCUCUCUCUGGCUUAUUGUGAGGCCGUGCAAGUUCCUUACAGCUUUUCUCUUAAAUCACAACCACUGUUACUCUUCUGGCUCUUGUUUCAAAUGUUUGGUUCUUUCCAGUUGCAUGAACAGUGUUUGUGCUGUUAGCACCUGAGGAAAAACACCCAGCCAUGAGUGUAUAAAUCAGGACUGAAGAUGUGCUGAGCCUAGGCUCUGGCUGUUCUUUAUUAAAGAUAACUGCUGUUGAUCUACUCUUUUGGGGUUGGCAACGUCCACACUGAAAACCAUUGGUCUAAAUCUUCCUGUGUCAUUGCAACUUACAGCAACUGCUUUUGUAAAAUGAAGGCUUUUUUGAAGCGAGAAGGGAAACUGCCUAAUUCAAAUACUUGUUUACAGUGUGGUUGUAUAGCUGUAAAGAGGGAUUCUGCACCUCCAAAUUGCUGUAAAAACUUCCCACUGGGUGGAAUUUGACUGGUGAAUGUUCCAGUAUUCAGAGUAGUUCCUGGGUUUUAUUAUACAAACGAAGUACACACUUAAGCUUCAGCUUGAUUAUGAAAUACAGUGUAUAUCUUAAUUUUGAUCUGAAUUUGAUAUGUUGCAAAAAUCCAUAUAAUUAUAUGGAUCAAUUUUAAAAUGUCUUUUUCUCCACUGUAUAUGUGAAGUUUGAAUAAAGGAAUGAAAGUUAUUUUACAGUUACAUACAUUCUCAAGUGUGAGCUUUCCUGGAGUCCCAGAGAAAUUGAGAGUGAAUAAGGCAAUAGGAUGCUGUCAUUUGAAAGAUUUUUACAGGAAUGAUUAAUUAGACUGGACGCAUUGCCAAAGAUACCUGUGAAUUAUGCUGUGUUUUGUAGGGUGCCUUUCCCAGCUAUCUCCUCUCCUUAGUAGGGUGGUCAGUUUUGGGUUAGUUAAUCUUCUAAGGUCCUGAAUUGAGAUUGAUAGGGUCUUUUCACAAAAAAGAGCUGAACUCUUGAUUCUGGCCAGUGUGGUGAUGCUACUUUUUCAACAUGCUGAGUGCUAUUACUUCUUGUAUCAAAUGUGGUCACUUCCAUGGAGUAAACAGUGGUAAAGGGUAAGCAUUUAGAUACUUUGACUCAUCAAGUCACGUACUGCAGCUUUCAAUUUGGCUCCUAAGAAUAGGAUUUCAAAACUUUGUUUGUACCUUUUAUAAACCAGCUUGCAGUGUUCAGAGUGUUGGCCUGUGUGCACUGAGCUGUAUUUCAGACUGAGCAGCUGCUGGCCUGGCCUGCCCCAGCUGGGCACUGAAAUUCUGAAAUUAAGGUAGAAUCCAGCAGCAGCAGCUCUUACCCGAGCUAAUGUCCUGCCCUCCUUAACCCCCCCACUUUCUUGUGUCCAAGGCCAUUUGGUGCUCAGCAGGGCUCCUUUGUAUCUUACAAGGUCUAGAAAGUAUUUUCUUUAACAAACAAACUUCUCUAACUUCCAAUAAAGACCUUUCCUGUAAUGGCUUCCACAAAUCUAGAUGAAAUGAGUAUGCAGCUUUGAGGGAGGUACACAAAUGCAUGAAGACGGUUUUAAAUUAACCACAUAAUGUAUACUAGGUUCCUUCAUCACUCAGGUGAUUUUGAGCUGCUUGGGUGAUCUCCUUUUUCUGUGCCUCCAAGCACCUAAAUUCUGAGUUUGAUGCUAUUUUGAAACUUGAUUUAGUUUGGGGUUUUUUUAAAGGCUUUGUUCUCUUCAUUUUCCUCAGUGCUCGCAGAAAUUCUGUUCACAGUGCUUCUUUGUCUUCCUCAGCAGAAGUGCAAGCCAAUGUCCCUACCACUGCUUCUAAGUGAAAGGCUGGUUUACUUUGCUUACACCUUGAUGCAUUUUAAAAACUAAAUCAUGCAAGUUUUACUUUGCGGUAGCUCCAGAAGUUCCAUACAGCUUUUUUUACAAAGGGAUAUCUGAUUUCCCUCUGCUUGAGAAAUAUCAGGAGUUCCCUGUUGAAUGGGGACAAGAGAAGAAAUGUGCUUUCUCUUUUUACAUUUGAUGAGGACUUAGCUAGCUUGCAUAUGGUAAAUACUCGUGUACAAUACAGAGUGGUGUAAAGAGGAAACAAACACAGUACUUACUUAUGUGGACAGUGAGCUCCACAGUACCAUAAUUGUGAAUUUUCUUGCAAAGGUUUAAGUCCUCAAGCUGCAUCCUGUUUAGAGAAGGCAUUUUCAAUAUGCUUCCAGUAGGAAGAUCACUUACAAAUAAGAGCCUUAACUCAUGUGUAUAGAUUUUUUUUUUUCUGUCUAUAGCUUCUUUCCCACCAACUUGUAUAAUUCAUGGAAACUGCAGAUACUUUUUCCACAGCUAACCUCUCUCAUGUGAAAUUUGUAUAUCUUACCAGAACUCUUUGUUUCUGUAACAUGCUUUUUUGUGGUAUUAUGAUGCCACCUCACAAAUGUAAUUAUUGUUUGAAACUGGUGUUAAGUGUCACAACAUAAAUAAAACAAUUGUUUUCAUUACUACCUU